rnacentral:antisense_RNA from 1 species
GAUUCCUGCCCCUCAGCAGCUGGGUGGCUGAAGGGAGCUCAGGAAGCUCAGGGCAAAUCAGCCUCACUAAUUUGGAGACACCUUACCGUAGAAGUUGGUCCUCCUCUCUCCAGAGCCCGCCAUAAAGCUGGGCUUUUGUGGUGAGAAGAAGAAAAUGAGCCAUCCUCAUCCCAUCUCCUCCAACAUCUAUGCCACGUGAGGCUCCAGAACGGCUCUACUUUCCGACCUGGCUGCACUGCAACUAGCCCUUAACCAAGGUGUCCACGGCGUCUUCACCCCCUACCUCUUGCCCUCCAGAGCCGGUAAGGCCCCUUUUCCACGUUAUCGCUGGGACUCUUCUCACCCUAUGCAGUUCUCCUUAGACCAAGGCACUGGAAGGCUUGGCAUCAAAUGGAAAACUCCAUUCAGAAGACACUACAAUUGCAUUCUCUUGCAAGAAUUUAAACCUCCCUUUUCAUACAUAGAAAAAGGGAAUCAAGGUAAAAAAUAAUAAAAAAGAAAAAUAUAGAUAAUAAAA